CCCUUAGAUGUUCGGGGCCGCACGCGCGCUACACUGAAGGAAUCAGCACGUCUUUCUCCUUGUCCGAAAGGACUGGGUAACCCGCUGAACCUCCUUCGUGCUAGGGAUUGGGGCUUGUAAUUCUUCCCCAUGAACGAGGAAUUCCCAGUAAGCGCGAGUCAUAAGCUCGCGUUGAUUACGUCCCUGCCCUUUGUACACACCGCCCGUCGCUACUACCGAUUGGAUGGUUUAGUGAGAUCCUCGGAUUGGUCCCGGCGCGGCCUCUGGUCGUGCCGGAGUGCCGAAAAGAAUGUCGAACUUGCUCAUCUAGAGGAAGUAAAAGUCGUAACA
rnacentral:rRNA from 1 species